rfam:Oryza sativa (indica cultivar-group) chromosome 11, whole genome shotgun sequence.
AAUAAACACAGUUGUAAGUUUUAAUGUCCAACUUUGACCAUUCAUCUUAUUUGAAAUAUUUCUAUGAUUAGUAUUUUUAUUGUUAUUAGAUGAUAAAAUAUAAAUAGUACUUUAUACGUGACUUAACUUUUAAAUUUUUUUCAUAAAAUUAUCAAUAAGACGGAUAGUCAAAUGUUGGGCACGAAAACUUAUGGCUGCACUUAUA